GGCGGUUCUCAGGUGAUGCACCCCAGAAUCGGGCUCCCUCCUCUCUGGUUCUGGGUGCAUCACUCAAGAACAGCA
rfam:Myotis davidii contig214680, whole genome shotgun sequence.